UAGCCAUUGUUGUUGUUGGAA
rnacentral:miRNA from 1 species